CCAUCCAAUUCUGUCCGGUCUGAACCAUAGUGGAUUGUGUUCACCGGGAGCAUUGUUUGAUC
rnacentral:pre_miRNA from 1 species